rnacentral:rRNA from 1 species
AAAUUGAAGAGUUUGAUCAUGGCUCAGAUUGAACGCUGGCGGCAGGCCUAACACAUGCAAGUCGAACGGUAACAGGAAGCAGCUUGCUGCUUYGCUGACGAGUGGCGGACGGGUGAGUAAUGUCUGGGAAACUGCCUGAUGGAGGGGGAUAACUACUGGAAACGGUGGCUAAUACCGCAUAACGUCGCAAGACCAAAGAGGGGGACCUUCGGGCCUCUUGCCAUCAGAUGUGCCCAGAUGGGAUUAGCUUGUUGGUGAGGUAACGGCUCACCAAGGCGACGAUCCCUAGCUGGUCUGAGAGGAUGACCAGCCACACUGGAACUGAGACACGGUCCAGAC